rnacentral:antisense_RNA from 1 species
AAUAGCCAAAGAUUGUACCUGGGUUGAGGCUAGGAUUAGUAAUGAGGCGUACAUCUCCCAAAUGAGUAUCAUAAAUGCCGCCAAAAAACAUAGCUUUUAGCACGAGCAAGAAUGCUCCUAAACCCAGAAUAAUUAGGUGAUGUCCUAAAAUUAAACUCAAUUGUUUAGGGUCAUUCCA